rnacentral:rRNA from 1 species
GACGAACGCUGGCGGCGUGCUUAACACAUGCAAGUCGAACGAAGUGGCGGACGGGUGAGUAACGCGUAAUCAACCUGCCCUUCAGAGGGGGACAACAGUUGGAAACGACUGCUAAUACCGCAUACGGAAGGACGGGAUUGCGUGGGAAUGGCUAGUUGGCGGGGUAACGGCCUACCAUGGCGAUGAUGAGUAGGCGGUCGGGGAGGAUGAACGGCCACAUUGGGACUGCGACACGGCCCAGACUGCUAAGGGAGGCAGCAGUGGGGAAUCUUCCGCCAUGGACGAAAGUCUUACGGAGCAACUCCGCGUGAGUGAUGACGGCCUUCGGGUUGUAAAGCUCUGUUAAUCGGGACGCGGUACCGGAAUAGAAAGCCACGGCUAACUACGUGCCAGCAGCCGCGGUAAUAC